AAUGCCAUAUCGGGUGCACCAAUUAUUAGAGGGACUAGCCAGUUGCCGAAACCUCCGAUUAUGAUUCGUAUUACCAUAAAGAAUAUUCUGACGACUGCGUGGGUGGUAACAAUAACGUUGUAGAUCUGAUCAUCUCCUAGCCGAGUUCCUGGUUGGCCUAAUUCUGCUCGAAUUAGAAGGCUUAAGGCGGUGCCCACUAUCCCCACUCCUGCGCCUAAUAGCAGGAAUCAAAUCCAAGUUCAUCUAUGGCGGAUUCGGAGGGGACUAGGCCUUACGCAAUGGUGCUUGGACCCAUUGCAGAGCCUUGGCCCAGGCUGAGCAGUUGGUUCCUGCGCACAGACUCCCAAGCUGGCUCCUCUCAUCCUUCAAGUCUCAGCUUAAACAGCAAUAAAGAAAGACCGUUCCUGACUA